rnacentral:lncRNA from 1 species
CUCCUUAUUUGUGCUCUGAUCUCUGACUGUUGUCACCAUGCAUGCAGCUUUCUUUUGGUUUCGUAUACCUUGACAUACAUGCUUUUAACCUGACAGCUGACUACCAGCACCGCCAGCUUUUCUGUCUGACCGCUUCUCAUUUCCAUAAUUCUUUUAGUUUCCUUGAUAGGUGCAAUUACUAUGGCUCGUCAAUAAUAAAUACUUAGAAUUUAAUUCUAAGAUUUAUAAAU